rnacentral:ncRNA from 2 species
CUCUUAUCCAGAGCGGUAGAGGGACUGGCCCUUUGAAGCCCAGCAACCUACACUUGUUGUAAGGUGCUAACCUGAGCAGGAGUUUUCCUGAUCGAUGAGAG